rnacentral:tRNA from 1 species
UUAAAUGAAAACCAAAAUAGAGGUUUAUCACUGUUAAUGAUAAAAAUGAAUUUAAUUCCAUUUAAA